AUACAGUCAUCAGUGACAGCCAAUGAGGGCAAAUAUCUGCUCUGCCUGGUUACUUUGUUUGUUUCUACAGCGCUUUUUUCAAACCAACCAGCAGGGAUUUGGGGUCCAGUUCUUCUCAGAAAAAGAAAUGGGCUUAGAAACACUCAAUUGUUUUUAAAGGCAGCCAGUUGAAGAGGCGGUGAAGAGGGAGCUGUCACCAUGGUACAGCACUAUCUCCCCCGGAGCAUCAGGCUUCCUGUAACAUCAUCCCCCCAGGUUGCAAACAGGGUCAGAGCAACAGAGAUGGUCGAGGAGAGGGAGGAGAAGGAGGUGGAGGAGGGGACUGAACAAUGUGAAGGAUUGUCGUCCUGCAUUUUUUUUCCUCCCCCUCCUCCCUUUCUGCUUCAGCACAGACUUCUUCUGCAACAUGAUCUAAAGUCAGACAAUAAUCACAACCCCCAGGUGAUGGCUGGCACACCUUCAUAUGUGCAGCAUCCUCCAGACAAGGCAAAGUUUAUGUUUUACAAGAUGUGUAUAUUCUAAUUUCAAAGUGAAAACAAGAUACUUCUCAAUUCUCCAUCUUACUUUGUGGUUUUCUGGCAUAAGCACAUUCCUCUACAUUACCUCAGCAUCACUGGGGUGAAACGGAGACUCACAGAUGUGAUGAAUCCUUAAAGUCCAGACCUAAGCCCACUAAGGUUUAAUAAUCUUUCUUUAAUUUGAACAAUUAACGUAAGUAAUACAACGCUUAGCUAGGUCUGUCUUUUUCUUUGAAUUGAUUGUACAGAUAUUUUUCUGAUUCUCUUCUUGAUAUCACAAAUCUAUAAUGGUAUGAAUUUCAAUACGCACUGCAGAUAGAUUUUUGACCUGGGUGGAAAAUAUCCAUCCACAUGAAUAAAUAAUUGUAUAAGCGUCACUUUCAAAAUAAAACGUGAUGUCAUAUUAGAGUAGCUGCUAUUGUUCUAACUCCAGAAUUGUUUAGAAAAAGACUCAGGCCUUGGCUUGAGUUGUCAGGCUGCUGCAUGUUUUUGAAAGAUAUUCAGAACUGCUUAUUGUUGUUUCUAUACAUUUACCAUCCAGAUAACUUGAAUUUGUGUGUCUUAAAUCCAGCAUGAUUGCAUUGUACAUUUGCACUGUUUUCUAGGUGUGGUGGUGUUCACUAUAUUUAUGUCAACAUGCUACAGUUAGGCUGUAAUGUGUUUUUGUUGUAAUUGAUUUUGAUACUUUGAAGUGGUUUUGAAUAAACUUGUGACAUGUCACCUGUGUUUGGUA